rnacentral:rRNA from 1 species
ACACUCCUGCGGGAGGCAGCAGUGGGGAAUUUUGGACAAUGGGCGAAAGCCUGAUCCAGCAAUGCCGCGUGAGUGAAGAAGGCCUUCGGGUUGUAAAGCUCUUUUGUCAGGGAAGAAACGGUGAAAGCUAAUAUCUUUUGCUAAUGACGGUACCUGAAGAAUAAGCACCGGCUAACUACGUGCCAGCAGCCGCGGUAAUACGUAGGGUGCAAGCGUUAAUCGGAAUUACUGGGCGUAAAGCGUGCGCAGGCGGUUUUGUAAGUCUGAUGUGAAAUCCCCGGGCUCAACCUGGGAAUUGCAUUGGAGACUGCAAGGCUAGAAUCUGGCAGAGGGGGGUAGAAUUCCACGUGUAGCAGUGAAAUGCGUAGAUAUGUGGAGGAACACCGAUGGCGAAGGCAGCCCCCUGGGUCAAGAUUGACGCUCAUGCACGAAAGCGUGGGGAGCAAACAGGAGUAGAUACCCUUGUAGUCCCAUG